rnacentral:rRNA from 1 species
AUGGACGGCGAUGAAGACGAUGGUCUUCACUUCUUCUCUCAGGCCCCCUCGCAUCACCAUGCUUCCCAGGGCUCAUCCGCGGGCGGAAAUCAAGGGAGGGGAAUGGGAUUCUUCGAUCUGAACAGCAACAUCAACGACUACCCCGACUUGGGCUCGUACCAGCAACUCCUCCGUGGCGAGUCGGACGGCCAUGGUCUUCCUCCGAUUGGACUUGGUCGUGGGAGACCAGAUGUCAGAACAUUCAAGGCUGGCAAUCCUGAGUAUUUGGAUAUGCUUAUAGAGCUAUUCCAAGGUGUGGCAGUUGAUGGAUCAUCAGCUUAUGUGCCCAUAGAUGAAGAGGAAGAAGAAUAUGGUGCUGUCGAUGAUGGACAUGAGCAGAUUCCAAUGAGCACCACCAGCAGGAAGAGGGGAAGUAGCGACGCUGAACAGUCAGCAACAAGCCCAGGCAAGAAACACAAGAGCCCAAUGGUGAAACUAAUGACAGGGCUGAUCAACAGUAUCAAUAGUGAUAACACUUCUGAGAUGAUCACUGAAUAUGCAAACAAAAGGCAGGAAGCAAAGGACAAGGAAAAAGGGAAGAAAUCAAACAGCACCAAAGAAUCCAUUACUCGUUGUCAACGGUUGGCAGUUCAAUGUGGUGCAGAAGAAACAAGUGUCGAGUACUUCAUGGCAACUCAACUGUUUGCAGAUGAGGCAAACAGAGUCAUAUUUGAGAGCAUUACAAGUGAUGACGCUAGACUGAAUUGGUUGAAGAGGUGGUGCAUGAUGAAGAAGUUGUCCUAG